CCCUAGUGUUGACAGUGGGUUACUUGCCAUUAAUUUUUAUACCCCUUCCAAAUUUAUUUCUCCAUGUUUAAUGCCUCAAAUUGCAAGUAGGGGGGUGAAAUUACACUGUAAAAAAAUUUGGGGUCCAGAAUUUUAAAGGAAAGUAGUGAUUUGGUCCAGGUGAAAAAGGUUGAAAAUUAGCACUUCGGAAGCUGUCAAAAGAUUUCAAGACGCCCUAAACAUAAAAUUGUCCAUAUUUUGAGUUAGAGACGAUGAAGUUUUCUAUAAUUUUGAUAUAAUUUGUCCAAAAAGUAGUACAACACACUGUAACAGUUUCUUUGAGAAAGCGCAGGUGGGAUUUUUUUUAUUUUCAUUUAUGUUCUAAAAGAAAUGCAC
rnacentral:lncRNA from 1 species